rnacentral:rRNA from 1 species
UAAAGGAGCGAUCCGGUGACGGAUGGGCAUGCGUGACAUUAGCUAGUCGGCGGGGUAACGGCCCACCGAGGCGACGAUGUCUAGGGGUUCUGAGAGGAAGGUCCCCCACACUGGUACUGAGACACGGACCAGACUCCUACGGGAGGCAGCAGUGAGGAAUAUUGGUCAAUGGGCUUACGCCUGAACCAGCCAAGUCGCGUGAGGGAAGACUGCCCUAUGGGUUGUAAACCUCUUUUGUCAGGGAGCAACGCCGGCUACGUGUAGCCGGACUGAGAGUACCUGAAGAAAAAGCAUCGGCUAACUCCGUGCCAGCAGCCGCGGUAAUACGGAGGAUGCGAGCGUUAUCCGGAUUUAUUGGGUUUAAAGGGUGCGUAGGCGGAAUGCCAAGUCAGCGGUAAAAUCGCGGGGCUCAACCUCGCUCCGCCGUUGAAACUGGCGUUCUUGAGUGGGCGAGAAGUAUGCGGAAUGCGUGGUGUAGCGGUGAAAUGCAUAGAUAUCACGCAGAACUCCGAUUGCGAAGGCAGCAUACCGGCGCCCAACUGACGCUGAAGCACGAAAGCGUGGGUAUCGAACAGGAUUAGAUACCCUGGUAGUCCACGCAGUAAACGAUGAAUACUAGCUGUUCGGGGCAAUUGGGCCUUGAGUGGC